rnacentral:rRNA from 1 species
CCUACGGGAGGCAGCAGUGAGGAAUAUUGGUCAAUGGACGCAAGGCUGAACCAGCCAAGUAGCGUGAAGGAUGACGGCCCUACGGUUUGUAAACUUCUUUUAUAAGGGAAUAAAGGUAUGCACGUGUGCCUAUUUGUAUGUACUCUAUGAAUAAGAAUCGGCUAACUCCGUGCCAGCAGCCGCGGUAAUACGGAGGAUGCGAGCGUUAUCCGGAUUUAUUGGGUUUAAAGGGAGAGUAGGUGGGUUUUUAUGUCAGCGGUGAAAGUUUGCGGCUCAACCAUAAAAUUGCAGUUGAUACUGGAAGACGUGAGUGCGUUUGAGGUAGGCGGAAUUCGUGGUGUAGCGGUGAAAUGCAUAGAUAUCACGAAGAACUCCGAUUGCGAAGGCAGCUUACUGAGCCGCAACUGACACUGAAGCUCGAAAGCGUGGGUAUCAAACAGGAUUAGAUACCCGAGUAGUC